GUGUCUGGGCUAAUGUUGUUGUCUAGGUGGGUCUGGGCUAAUGUUGUUGUUGCUUAGGUGGGUCUGGGCUAAUGUUGUUGUUGUUGUUUAGGUGGGUCUGGGCUAAUGUUGUUGUUGUUUAGGUGGGUCUGGGCUAAUGUUGUUGUUGUCUAGGUGGGUCUGGG